rnacentral:rRNA from 1 species
UACGAAGGGGGCUAGCGUUGCUCGGAAUAACUGGGCGUAAAGCGCACGUAGGUGGGUCGUUAAGUCGGGGGUGAAAUCCCAGAGCUCAACUCUGGAACUGCCUUCGAUACUGGCGACCUUCGAGUUCGGGAGAGGUGAGUGGAACUGCGAGUGUAGAGGUGAAAUUCGUAGAUAUUCGCAAGAACACCAGUGGCGAAGGCGGCUCACUGGCCCGAUACUGACACUGAGGUGCGAAAGCGUGGGGAGCAAA